CAGCCGCCGCGGUAAUACGUAGGGUGCAAGCGUUAAUCGGAAUUACUGGGCGUAAAGCGUGCGCAGGCGGUUAUAUAAGACAGAUGUGAAAUCCCCGGGCUCAACCUGGGAACUGCAUUUGUGACUGUAUAGCUAGAGUACGGCAGAGGGGGAUGGAAUUCCGCGUGUAGCAGUGAAAUGCGUAGAUAUGCGGAGGAACACCGAUGGCGAAGGCAAUCCCCUGGGCCUGUACUGACGCUCAUGCACGAAAGCGUGGGGAGCAAACAGGAUUAGAUACCCCCGUAGUCCCUGUCUCUUAUCC
rnacentral:rRNA from 1 species